UCUGGCGAUGACGACACACUUGCCCUCACUGAGAGCUGAUGAGAGCUGUUUUAUGCGCUCAGUGGAGCCGAGCCAGA